CCACAGCUUUCUGACAGAGAACAAUCCAGCCAUAGCAACAGUUGCUAAGUUCCCUUGCCUAGACUUGAGCUUCAGUUCUCACCAAAUCUCCACAGCUGGAAACAUAUUUACAUGCAAUUACUGCUCAAUAAUUAGUGUGUGGAAACAAAGCUUCCAUGAUCAAGUAUGUGGCCCUGGCUGGCUUCUUGUGGGGGAGCAGAAGGAGGAGAGUGAUUCUUUCUCAGUAAGCAUUUACAAUAACCCAGCCAGUAAUCCUGACAUCAAACACACAACACGCUCUUCCGAGCUGCAUCGACGUAAGGCUGUGCUGGCGCAGGCAGGAUAUGCCGGCGCAGGCAGGAUCUGCCAGCUCAACAUCUCCUGAUAACACUGAGAAGAAAGACAGGAGGGAAAGCAAAAGCAUCUAUCGCAAUCAGCAGGCAACGCACAGGCCUAUUGUGUCCUGAUGUUCUAUUGUCGAAAGCCUUGGCUGGAGAGUAAGGCUGCUGCAGUCCCACUGCAUUCAGAAACUCAGAUGCAAAAUGCAUGUAGGACUUAUAAAUAUACCCUGAAGUACUCAGCUGCUUAGGGAAUGACACCAAGGUGACCCAUAGGGUACUAUUCACACAUUCUGGCACAGAGAGAAAAACAGAAAAUGCUUUUCAGAGGAUGAGCUGAAAGAAUGCUGUUGUAUUGCUGUUUUUUCCCCAGGUAUUUUCUCCUGCGUGGCCAACAGUGCAAGGUGGAUAAAUUGGAAAAGGGGCACAAACACAGAAGUGCAAGAUGGAGAAGGGUUUAAAUGUAGGGACAGAAAGCCUUCAGGUUAAAUCUUCCCCUCCUCCUUGCCUUUUCUGUCAUAUAUCUGUGAUCUAAAUGAUAUCCACUCCAAGGUAAGGGAAGAACAGGUACUUGAAAGGGUAAAACUGGGAGGCCAACUAAAUUAUUUUGCCUUAUGGACAGUAUAAAACCGAAGCUGGUCCUAUUUGCCAGAUAAAACGUCUCCAGUGGUUAAGUGCCACACAGAACUUGCAGCUAUUGGGACUUUGCAGCUUUGAGCUGCAAAGUCCUUCCUGAUUAGGAGAGUUUGUUCUAUGUUUAAGACUUUGAAUGAAGAGGAUAGUGAUGACAGAAUGAUAGUGGAAUAACAUUUCAAGUUUUCUGAGCAGCAGACUACAUUUAGUAUAACAGGCAACACACCACAGAAUCUCCAUGUGCAUGCAGAAAUUCAAUAAAUGUGUAUUCACAAUCCA
rnacentral:lncRNA from 1 species